rnacentral:tRNA from 1 species
GCGCCCGUAGCUCAGAUGGAUAGAGCGUUGGCCUCCGGAGCCAAAAGCCGAAGGUUCGAUCCCUUUCGGGCGUG